GGACAGCACCCCUGCCUCUGGGAGCUCAGAUACAGUGAUGCUUCAGGAACUGUGGACCCUCGGACCCAGCCCCUGUUAAUGUUGAAGGACCAGGGAAUAUGAAGCUAGGUAGCUGCAGCUGAGGCUCUAGUUAAGGACUACGCAAAGCGUGUUGGAGAAUGUGUUUCCAGCUCACCAAAGUAAAAAAGACUACCCGACCGCACAGACUCGCAGUCUAGCUGAAAUGGAUCUGAAAAAAAGAACUGGUGCCGUUAAUUUAAACCAAAUCUCCCAAGAGCCAAGACUACAGGAUCAGAGCUCACCAAAGGAGAUCACAACACGGGUGAACCUGAGAACCUUCUGUAAAUACGCCAGCUAUUUAAUAUCACUUGGAACCUGCAAGUUAGGUAACAUCCAGAUCUCCUUCCCAAACGAAGGGCCGUGGCACAGGUGUCCUUGGAUGACCUGAAACUCACAUGGACUGGCCUGGCUUUGGACUUCCAGAGUGCUGGGAUUAUAGGCAUGUGCCACCACGCAGAGUUCUGUUUUGUAUUUUGAGACAGGGCCUCACUUUGUAACCCAUCUUGAGUUACAGUAAGCCUCCUGCCCUGGCUUCUAGAGUGCUGGGUUUUCAGGUGGAUACAACCACACCCAGUUUACUUUCUGUAUCUUAGGAUGUUUUGGCAUUUCCCAAAGCUUGAAGGCUUUUACGGUAGAUCAUCUUUGGGGGCCUCAAAAUGCUCUCUACCAGGGGCAUGGCUAUUUUGAACAAACUAACUAGUCCUGAGUCUGUAUUCCUGACAACUUCCUGAUUUAAAUCUCACACUCAAGCCAGUUUCUCUCUUCUCCUAACUCACCCAGAGCCAGGUAUCAGGCAACAAGCCACCACUUAUGUAUCCAAACCCACUGAACUGUUCCAGUUUGCCAUCGCUUACCUGCCCAAGUUUGCCUCUCCCUUAGAAAUGCCAGCAAAGGCUCCACCUCAGACUUUACUCCACAUUCUGCAUUUUUGUUUUAAGAGCUUGGGCUACUCUGCAACUUUCCAUGUAGCCUAAUGACCUUGAACUUGUGAUUCUCCUCUGUCAGGCUCCUGAGUGCUGAGAUUGCGCGUUCACAUCUGCAUACUGAGCCUCCCCCCAUCAACCUGUGUUCUACUGCAUCAAACAGACUUGGUGAUCGCCCUUGGCCCUGCCUAGCCAUGGGGCACCCCCUUCUCUGGGUAGGAUCUGCGACUGUAGAACCAUCUUCCAGGUUUCCUUCUGGUCCCCUCCCGGGGCUAUUACCAUCCCACCUUCAGUGUCUGCAUCCUUAGCAAGUACAGGUGUCUAGGAAAGUGGCCAUGAGGACACACAGAUGAUAAGCCAAAAGUCUUAACUCACCUCAAGAAAUAGAUGAAAGAAACUCGGAGACUAUUGGGAAUUCUCCUCUUUAUGAUCCUCUUAGUGGGGGGUGGGGAGUGGGGCUGGCAACAGACUUGACCACAGGAGUCAGAGGUCCUAGGAUCUGAUGACUUGGUCACUAUCUGUCACACCAAUAAGCCUUCUAGAAAAAAAAAGACAAGGAGUUGCUAUUAAAAAAGGAUACUAGGGGCUCAAUGGGUAAACCGUGAUGACUCAAGUUCUGUCUCCAAGACGCAUACGUUAGAACUUGUUGACUCCUCCAAGUGUCCUCUGAUCUCCACAUGAGGCUUGCUUGCCCACGGCCAACACACAGAAAGGAAUGAAUGGGAUAAAACACUCAUAGGGAAGGCAUUAGGGCUGCGGAACAAACGCAGCUGGCAGGGUGCUGCUGCCCCAGUGUGCAGAAAGCCACGCGGUCCUUCUGCCGAAACUCACAAAGGCAGUUCGGAGCUCAGGCCUGUGCUCCUGCACUCCCGAGGAUGGGGCAGCUGGGGCAGUAGUUGUCUUCUCUCGGGACAUAGUGAGUCCUUUGCUAUCCAACAUGGCUACAUGAGACCACGAAAUGCCAUUAAAGGCUCUCUAUCUGAAUCUGAAUCUGAAUCUCUGCCCAUUCUCAUUCUUUUUAAUCUCUCUCUCUCUCUCUCUCUCUGUGUAUGUGUAUCCAAUACCUGACAUGGUGGAUGGAUGGUAGGCCGCAGGGCCUCACUGAGCGUCAGAUCUUGGUUUUGACCUUUCUUGAGGUAGGGUCUCUUGAUGUCCUUUGCAUAUGCCAGGCUAGCUGAUCCAUGAACUCCGGGUACCUCCUCUCUCUGCAGGCAACCUCCU
rnacentral:lncRNA from 1 species